UCCUUCCCUUAGCUAAAAAAUUAGGUCAUUCGAUCUCCCACCCAAACCGCGCGCGCUCUCGGCCUCUUUGGACUGAUCACCAAAAUCGUGUUCCCUCCCUUGGCUGAAAAAUUAGGUCAUAUUCUCCCACCCAAAAUCGCUCUCAGCCUCUCUGACUCACCAAAAUCGUGUUCCCUCCCUUAGCUAAAAAAUUAGGUCAUUCUCCCACCCAAAAUCGCUCUCAGCCUUUCUCUUACUCACCAUUGCUCUCAGCCUCGUUCUGACUCACUAUCAAUCCCCCUCACACUCAAUCCCGUUCACCCACUAUUUCUCUCCCUUCCAAUUCAAGACCCUUUUGAUUCUUCCUCACCUUUCCAAUUCAAGACUUCUUGAAGUUCUCUUCUCUUUCGUUCUUAAAGCAGUUGGCGGACUCGGCGCUCACCUUCUUCACCCUCUCCAGGACUUCGACUUCGUCCAGUUCCAGUUCAGUCGGCACUCGGCAGUCGUAUUCGAUUCUCCAAAUCUCCAGUUCGUCGCCUCCUCCUCGGCUUCUCCACUUUUGGUUCUGCAGAUCAAGAAAUCACCAGCAAUUUGGGGCAAUGAUUCAAUGAAUUCAAUAUCAAGACAUCACCAGCAAUUUGGGGCAAUGAUUCAAUGAAUUCAAUAAAUCCAGCCCGUCCAAGGUUCCAAUCCUGGAUCCGCCACUGCUCUCGACCCAAUUGCGUUUGGAGUUUUGAAUCAUCUCAGCCUCUUUUACUUAAUCAGGAUUGCACUUGGUAAUGGCUGCUAUUGUUUUGAAUGAGCUCUGGGACCUUAGGAAAUGGGGAGACUGAAAGUCAUGGAACUUAUUUAGAGGUUUGGUGUUGGAUGGGACAGAGCAGAAGAACAAUGGUGAUGGACUGGUUCAUUUGAAAUCUGACAAUUUGUAUCAUAUCAAAUGAUUAUUGCUUUGCUUGUUUCUGCUGUUAUUGUGCUUCUUACAUGUUACGGAAACGAGCUCUUUAUAAUCAGUGAGUGGCCUGUGCUUAAACCCCUUCCAUCUUAUGGUACAAGAAGAGAUGCAGCAGCUGGUAUGGAAGGUACUCCACUUUCAUAAUUGGAACAAAACUCACUGACACUACUAGUACAAACCAGGAUGUUCCUCCCUCAGAUCUCCUUUGAUCUACUUCAACCAUGGAGGCGAUUGAAGAGUUGUUGCAACUGUCAGACUCGAUGCGCUAAGGCCAGGCCAUCCUCGCCGACGAAGACUCUACUGCCUCCUCUCGCCGCUCCUCAACUUUCUUCAACGUCGUCGGUCUCGGCAAUGUUUACUGAUAGCUAGAGUGUGGAUAUUGCAUAUCGAAUUAGCAUGGGCAGAUAAGGUCAUUGUAUAUAGAUUAAUGACUUGUGCGACUGUUGAAGAAAAGAUAUACAGAAAACAGACGCCUCUUUUCUUCUCCUCGAGCAGUCGACCUAGAACCCUUCUCCUCCAGCAGUCGACCUAGAACCCAAUUGAGCAACAGAUUGGAGCGAACCCAGAUCAGAGCUAGACCCCAAAUCGUCAACAGAUCAGAGCGAUCUCCGAUCCCAGACGACCAACAGAUCAGAGCGAUCUCCGAUCUCAGACGACCAACCCAGAUCAGAGCGAUCUCCGAUCUCAGACGACCAACCCAGAUCAGAGCGAUCUCCGAUCCCAGACGACCAACAGAUCGGUACCAUGUGAGAACGAAGGAGAGAACCGCCGCGAACAACAGAACCCGGACGAGCGUGUCGCUGAGCUGAUCCAUCAGGAGCUUCAGGAUCGACUAAUCCUCGUGCUUCUCCAGUUCGUUCCAUCCGUACACCGCCCGACGCUUCUCGACUUCCUCCUCCGACAGCCCCGAGGCUCUGCUGACCUUGAACUCGUCCUCGCAUUCCUGAAGAAACUGAACCUAUAUUGGAUGAGGCUGCGGUGCAAAAUAUAUUUUUAAAGUCCCUAGACAACUAUAUAAAGUGGUGUAACUACUUGUGCAUUCAGCCAGUUUGGAGCAAUUUGCAGUCAGUUAGGAAGGAGAAAAAGCUACUGUUUGUUUCCAUGUACUGUUUGAUCUGGGGUGAAGCAGCCAAUUGAAAGCUUGGAGUUAGGCUCAUUAGGCAAGCAUUGGAAGCGGAUGAUUGGCUUAGCUCUGACUUAAACAAAUUGAGAUAACAAAGCGUGCUAAUCCGAAGAAGAGAAUCAGAGAUUCAUUUGAUGAUGACAAUGAAGACCUGGAAAACUUGCCGAC